AAUGUCGGCGGCAAAUUAUAUACGAUCAGAACAAACCAAUGCUUGUUUUCUUUGUACUAAGAAGAUUAUACAAUUUAGAUGCACUGACUGUGAUAUUCUUAUAUGUCCGGAAUGCAAGAGGAAACAUUUAGGAAUAAAAAAUUCAAAUGGACAUCAUAUAACACGUGUUACAGGAUGGGAGAGGCGUCAACAACCAUGAUAUUCUAAAAUAUAUGAACAAGUCGAGUGUCGUUACAUUUUUAAGAGUCACUUAAAAGUGUUUUUAACAAAGGUUUGAUUUUUACAGAAAGUAAUUACUUGAAAGCCAACUUUUUUAUUCAUGAAAACUAUUGCUCUUUCAAUAUAAGAGAUGGAUAUAUUCCUGUGAAAUUUGCGUUUUUGUUUCCAGUGAUAUCUGUGCUAAUAUCAUAUCUGCUUAUUAAGUGCGCGUUUUCUUGUUUUCUACCUGGAGGAGUUCCUCAACAACUUUUCUUUUCAAAUAUAAACCCGUGUGCUCUCAGAUUUGCCGUACAGAAAUAUAAUAGUUCAUGUUUAUCUUCAUGGAUAGUCGUCAUGUACAUGGAUUGUAUUGUCACAUUUUGGAUUGUAUAUAUUCUAUUAGUAAACAAUAGUAAAACGAAAUUAGCAGAGCAGAUGCUUAAUGCCUUAUGUUUCAGUGGUGAUAUUUUCGUAGUUGAGUUUUAACAUUGUCUGUAACAUAAUAAAUCAUAAACUUUAAAAAAA
rnacentral:lncRNA from 1 species